CAACCUCAACUCAUAUGGGACUACCCCCUGAAUUUAAGCAUAUUAAUUAGGGGAGGAAAAGAAACUAACCAGGAUUUUCUUAGUAGCGGCGAGCGAAAAGAAAUCAGUUCAGCACUAAGUCACUUUGUCUAUAUGGCAAACGUGAGAUGCAGUGUAUGGAGCGUCAAUAUUCUAGUAUGAGAAAUUAACGAUUUAAGUCCUUCUUAAAUGAGGCCAUUUACCCAUAGAGGGUGCCAGGCCCGUAUAACGUUAAUGAUUACUAGAUGAUGUUUCCAAAGAGUCGUGUUGCUUGAUAGUGCAGCACUAAGUGGGUGGUAAACUCCAUCUAAAACUAAAUAUAACCAUGAGACCGAUAGUAAACAAGUACCGUGAGGGAAAGUUGAAAAGAACUCUGAAUAGACAGUUAAACAGUACGUGAAACUGCUUAGAGGUUAAGCCCGAUUAACCUGAAUAUCCGUUAUGGAAAAUUCAUCAUUAAAGUUGUAAUAUUUUAACAAUAUUAUAAUAAUAGUGUGCAUUUUUUCCAUAUAAGGACAUUGUAAUCUAUUAGCAUAUAACAAAUUUAUCAUAAAAUAUGACUUAUAGUUUAUUCAAAUUAUUAUGCUUGCAUUUUAACAUAGAAUAAAUGUCAUUAAUUUGAUAAAGUGUUGAUAAAUUAAAAUUAAUACAGUGCGUUAAUUUUUCGAAAUUAUAUAAUGGCAUAAUUAUCAUUGAUUUUUGUGUUUAUUAUAUGCAUUUGUAUGAUUAACAAUGCGAAAGAUUCAGGAUACCUUUCGGGACCCGUCUUGAAACACGGACCAAGGAGUCUAACAUAUGUGCAAGUUAUUGGGAGAUAAACCUAAUAGCGUAAUUUAACUUGACUAAUAAUGGGAUUAG
rnacentral:ncRNA from 1 species